GACGAACCGUGCGAACGUUGUUCGGAAUCACUGGGCUUAAAGGGCGCGUAGGCGGGCCUCCAAGUCAGGGGUGAAAUCUUUCGGCUUAACCGGAAAAGUGCCUCUGAUACUGGGGGUCUUGAGGUGGGUAGGGGCCUGCGGAACUUCCGGUGGAGCGGUGAAAUGCGUAGAUAUCGGAAGGAACGCCGGUGGCGAAAGCGGCAGGCUGGACCCUUUCUGACGCUGAGGCGCGAAAGCCAGGGGAGCAAACGGG
rnacentral:rRNA from 1 species